AUAUUAUUGUGCAAAACCUGUUACAACAACUCUACAGAUCAGCAAUGGCACCAGACUUUACAUCAAUGAAGAAGCUGCUCGAGAUCACAAUCAAACAGAACUGAAAAAUAACUCUCAAUAUCAGAAUACACAGCAAUCUCUCAUAGUUUUGUGCUUCGUACCAAUCAUUGUGAUGUUUUUGGCAAUAAUAGGUCUAUUCCAGGUCAAACUCCAAGUGUGUAAGAAAAGACACCAACAAUAUCAAGAUGAAGAACUGGAGCAGCUUUACAGCACAAAUGAUGAGGAGUUUUCUGAAGUGGAGUUUCAUCUGUUUCACCCGAACAACAACACUUUUGUUCCUUUUCAAAAGCCAAAGACAAAACCUAGACAAAUAUAAUCAAGAUUAUGUCACAUUGUCUAAUAGUGGUAUGAAUAUUGUGCUAAAUAAUUAGUAUAAUAUUGUUAGCUGAUAUUUGUUACCUAAACACACAUGUAAUACAAAAUCUGAAAUGUUUUCAGCAUGAAUUUAUUUGCUUUUGUUUUGAUAAUUAAGUCUUGUAGAUAAAAUCUGUAAAUCUUAAUUCUGUUUGUUUAUUUUGAAUGGCUUCAUUCUUUGA